rnacentral:rRNA from 1 species
UACGUAGGGUGCGAGCGUUGUCCGGAAUUACUGGGCGUAAAGAGCUCGUAGGUGGUUUGUCGCGUUGUUCGUGAAAUCUCACGGCUUAACUGUGAGCGUGCGGGCGAUACGGGCAGACUAGAGUACUGCAGGGGAGACUGGAGUUCCUGGUGUAGCGGUGGAAUGCGCAGAUAUCAGGAGGAACACCGGUGGCGAAGGCGGGUCUCUGGGCAGUAACUGACGCUGAGGAGCGAAAGCGUGGGGAGCGAACAGG